ACGUAGGGUGCGAGCGUUAAUCGGAAUUACUGGGCGUAAAGGGUGCGCAGGCGGUUUUGUAAGCCAGAUGUGAAAUCCCCGGGCUUAACCUGGGAACUGCAUUUGGGACUGCAAGGCUAGAGUACGGCAGAGGGGGGUAGAAUUCCACGUGUAGCGGUGAAAUGCGUAGAUAUGUGGAGGAAUACCGAUGGCGAAGGCAGCCCCCUGGGUCGAUACUGACGCUCAGGCACGAAAGCGUGGGGAGCAAACAGGAUUAGAUACCCUGGUAGUCCACGCCCUAAACGAUGUCAACUAGGUGUUGGGGAAGGAGACUUCUUUAGUACCGCAGCUAACGCGAUAAGUUGACCGCCUGGGGAGUACGGUCGCAAGAUUA
rnacentral:rRNA from 1 species